UCUGGAGCAAAGAGUCAGAUUGCUAGAGUAGCCGCAAAGGAGUCCACGGCAGGUACUUGCUACCUCUCUGUGCAUCAGGGAGCAUGCCUCCCAGGGUUCUGAUCUUUGCCUGAGGGAAAGUGAGUGGACCAGAGAGCAUCUGAUGAGGCCAAGUCACAGGCAGAGAGUUUACAGAAGCAAGAAAUCAAUCAACAUGGCUUCAACCGCAGGGGGUGAAGUAGGGGAGUGAGAUGGAUGUUUGAUCAGGUUACAGGGAGCUCAGCCUCUAGUAGCAACCCCAUUGGUAAGCAGCUGUGUGAUCUAAGACUGGAGAGCAAGAAAAGCCCAACAUGGAAUAUAUUAAAAAGAUUGCAUAACAAGUGAUAUGGAAGAAAAUAUUGAGAAACUUCUUGAAAUCCCCUGAAGGAUGCAUGAAGUUUUGGCUUCCAUGAAACAGGAACAAAAACUAUGAGGAGGAAAUUGCCUGAAAUAGUGAUAAUGAGAAUGACAAAAGAAAUUAAACAUAAAUUGAGGAAUUUAAUCCUCACUGAAGCAGAAAAUAUCAAAAUUGACAAUGCAGAAGACUGAAGCAAUGAUAUUGAUGACAAACGAGUUUUUUUUUCCAGAUUGGAGAGAAAUAUGGACACAGUAAUAAGUGGAGAAUCAACAUAGGUGGAAUCAAGAGUAUAGACUCUGAAGAUGCAUUCCGUGGGUGCAAAUACUGACCCCAUUUACACUAGCAGUGUGACACUGGGCUAGUUACAUACUUUCUUAGUGUUAUCAACUGUAAAAUGGGACUAAUAAUAGUAAAGGGAUUUAUAUUUAAAUUAAAUCAACUACUAUUGAUAUAGUUCUUAAAACAGGGGUUAGCAUAUAGUGAAUGCUAUGUUUGAUAAAUACAUAGAAACAAUGAACAAGAAGAUUACAGACAUGGAAGACAGAAGAUGACAAUUAAACUCAAGAACUUAACCAUCAGUAAGAAAAAACAAGUAAUUAGAUCAGUAACAAUCAUAAACACAAUUGCUAUUUUUAACUUCCCGGUUUCAAGCAGCCUACUUUGUCCACCACCAGCUCUCCAGCCUAGGACUUAUGUCUCAAUGGUUUUCAGUGUCCCCAUCUGAGAGAGUGCUGCUGCUCUCAUUACUAUCUUUUCCUCUAUUCUCUUCAUUUCUCUUCACAAUUUAUAUCCACACUUGAAAUCAUAUAAAUUACUAUUUUGUUUACUGUUAUUUGAAUAGGAGGGCUGUGAGCUCAAGGCCUUAAUCACUCUUUGCCAUUGUCACAGACUCUAAAAAAAAAUCUCAUUGGAUAAAUGAAGAAACUGCCCUGCUAAACAGAAAUAACUGAAUGGACAGAUCAGAGGGGGUUGCAAUAUCAGGUAACAUUAACUAAGAAAGCCAUUCUUAGAUAAGUAUUGGCAAAUUUUUUGAAAUGAAAUAACUGAAGGUGUCCAUGCCUUACUCCCACACAUAGAAAGAUCGGUUUUCCUGACUACAAGUCAACAAAAAUUUUUCUGAUUUCAUACUUACUCUCUGCUAUAGUGAUUUACAGAAAACAAUAGAACAAUAUUUGUAAAUCUUUUCAAGGAAAAUGUUGUUUAAGAAUUUUAAUGUCCAUGUACUAGAGGAAUUAGAUAAUAUAACCACUGUGUGUCUUUCUUUCAAAAAUCAAUGAAUCAAAAAUAAGACCUUGGUAAUGAGGCAGUCAAGCUAUGAAAGGAGGGUGUUGGGUAUUCGUACUCUUCUGCUGUACUUUAAAGGCCAUCCUUUUGGACAAGACUCCCACUUUUAGAUCUCUAGCCCUUGUAGCAGUCUAAGAUAGAUGUCCAGUUCUUAAUGCUUGGAAUUUGUGAAUAUAUUACUUUAUUUGGUUUACAGAUGUGAUUAAAUUAAGAAUUUUGAGUUGGGGGGUUAUCCAGGCAGGCCUAAUGUAAUCACAAGGAUCCAUAAUAAGAGGGUGUCAGAAAAAUCAGAAUGAGUGAGAGUAGUAGGAGAUGUGACCAUGUAAACAAGAGGUUGGAGUGAUGUGAGGUCACAUCAAAACCACACACACACAAUGAUAUAUCACUGAUGUGAGGUACUAAAAGAAAUGUAGGCAGUGUCUGGAAGCUGAAAAAGGCAAGGAAAUGAUUUUCCCCUCAGAGCCUCCAGAAGGAACCAGCUCCUCUGACAACUUGACUGUAGCUCAGUGAAACUGAUUUUGGACUUCUGACCUCCACAACUACAAAAUAGUAAACUUGUAUGUAGUUAUUAAAAAUUGAGGUAAAAUUCACAUAACUGUUAACUAUUUCAGAGUGUAACUAAGUGGCAUUUAUUGCAUUCACAAUAUUGUGUAACCACCAUCAUCUCUAGUUUCAAAACUUUUUCAUCACCCGAGAGGAAAAUCCCUUGCUCAUGAAAUAAGCAUUCCUCAUCUUUGUCUCUUCCACCCAUUGCUUCCCUUGGCAACCACUAAUCUGUUUUCUGUCUCUAUAAAUUUGUCUAUUCUGGAAUGUUUCAUAUAAAAGUAGUUAUAUACUAUGUGGCCUUUUGUGUCCGGCUUCUUUCACUUAGCAUAAGGUUUCUGAGGCUCAUCCAUGUUAUACCAUGUGUCAGUACUUUCUUUCUUUUCAUAGUUGAAUAAUAUUCCAUUAUGUAUUUAUGCCAAAAUUUGUUUAUCCUUUCAUCCAUUGAUAGACCAUCUUUUGUUUCCAGCUUUUGGCUUUUAUGAAUAACACUGCCAUAAACAAUUAUGUAGAAGUUUUCCUGUGGACAUAUUUUUAUUUCCCCUGGAUUUAUAACUCUGGGAGUAGAAUUGCUGGAUCAUACAGUAACUAUGAUCAGUAUGCUUAUGCUUAACUAUCUGUUUACUUUUUGAGGAACUGCCAAGCUGUAUUCCACAGUGGCUGCAUUAAUUUACAUUCGGUCAGCAAUGUACAAGAGUUCAAAUUUCUCCACAUCUUUGUCAACACAUUUUUGUUUUUAUUUUUUUGGAUUAUAGCCAUCUCAGUAAAAGUGAAGUGAUAUAUCAUUGUGGUUUUGAUUUGCAUUUCCUUAAUGACCAAUAAUGUUAAAAAUGUUGAACAUC